AUACGGAGGGGACAAGCGUUAUUCGGAAUCACUGGGCGUAAAGGACGCGUAGGCGGGUUAUUAAGUCGGGUGUGAAAUCCAAUGGCUCAACCAUUGAACUGCAUUCGAAACUGAUAACCUAGAGUAUGGAAGGGGCAGGUGGAAUUAGUGGUGUAGGGGUAAAAUCCGUAGAUAUCACUAGGAAUACCGAAAGCGAAGGCGACCUGCUGGGACAUUACUGACGCUGAGGCGUGAAAGCGUGGGGAGCAAACAGGAUUAGAAACCCCAGUAGUCC
rnacentral:rRNA from 1 species